GCAAACUUGGUCAUUUAGAGGAAGUAAAAGUCGUAACAAGGUUUCCGUAGGUGAACCUGCGGAAGGAUCAUUAUCGAGUAAUGGGGUUCCAUUCGGGCCCCUACUCCCACACCAUGUGUACCUUUACCUUACCGUUGCCUUGGCGAGCCGCCCUCGGGCGCCGGGCCCCUCGUGGGUUCGGAGAGCGCUCGCCAGAGGACCAACUCAAACUCUUUGUUUUAAUCCACGAAGUCUGAGUCUAAUUCUUUGAAUUAAAUUAAAACUUUCAACAACGGAUCUCUUGGUUCUGGCAUCGAUGAAGAACGCAGC
rnacentral:misc_RNA from 1 species